CUGCUUCAGAGCCGUCUGUCACCACACUCGACCAAUCAAAGGACUGGUCUCUGCUGCAGUGUUUAGUCAGAGGAGCUUCUCCUCGACCUAAAGUGGAGUGGAGGGACAGUUCUGGAAACAUCCUUCAUGCUAAAGAAGCACAGGUCACAGAAAGAGGAGGCAGCUACGACAUCAUCCUCCAAACCACUGUGACCAAGACCGACCACUACAGCUGUGUGGUCACACAGGACCAGAUCAAACACCACACUGAGGCAGAGACCUACGUUCACAUCAACGGUUCUGUUGUUGGAUGGAUUGUUGCCGUUGCAGUGCUCAGUGCUCUUUUGGUUGUUUUCAUCGUCCUAGCUGUGCUCUUUGCCACAGGUCGCAUCAGUUGUCGUAAAGACGAGGAGAAAGGUGAACCCAUAAAAGACCGCACUGAAUCCGACCUUCUAGCUGAAUGAAGUCAGGUAGACUCACGUCGUGUUCCUUCAAACCUCUGACUCUGGAACUCCAAAGUUAUUGAAGCUAAUCUGCCUUAAUCCCAACAUGAAGAUGAUUUCAUCUGUUUGACCAUCAUGAUGUCAUACUUGAAAACAGCUGAGUGAGGGAUCAAAUCCAACCAGGUGUUUGUUCUCACAUUUUAAUGAACGCCGUGGAGAUCGGGCUUUUUCCAAUCAGAGCCCGUCGACUUUGGAACGACCUGAGGAGCAUGUUCAUGACACAUCCUUACACCUCUAACGUUUACUCUGCUUUAAAUACACUGCAGCUUUAAUGCAUGAUCAUUUCAUUAAUAUCAUCUGUGAAUGGAAUCCAGGGUUUAAAACAUAAAGGUCUCCCUGUGAACAUCCCAGAGAGCCUCUGACUGAGGAUUUAAAGAAACACUUUGAAAAACAGGAUUGAUGUGAGAAAGUGUGAAAUAGAAGUCCCUGUUUGUGUUUGCUCUCCUGUUGAUCCAGUGUGUGAAUGAAGAAUUGAGAGCAAAGGCGCUUUACGACUGACGGAGAAUCAAAGCCUCAGUACUUCACUGAACUACAGCUGCUGUUUGACUGUAAAUACAUGAGAUUCUGUUGCUGCUACACUGAGAUAUAAUGAGACUUUAAGAUGUGGGACGAGGAUGUAUCUCUUCUUUAGACUUUAUAAAGCCGAGUGUGUCAGGUAGAGACAAACACAGAGCUGAAGUAUGCUCCUAAACGUUUCUUUAUGCUGCUGAUGAAUGACGCUCUGAUGGUUACAACGUGAUAUCAGGCUGUGCUUCAUCAUUCACAUCCACCUGCUGGAAUAAAACAUGAUCAAUGUUA